AAUAGAUUACGCGUUGCAUUGUAAUGAGUGUCUGCAAGCUAUCUUGUACGAGGGCGAACAUUGGACCAGACACAACACAGGAUGAAGUGGUGGAAGGAAGUUUGUCACAGAAAACAGUGACUUCAGACCUGGUAUCACUCAAUACAAGAUCCAUCCGUGGUUCAGACCAGACACGGUGCUCUAGAUCACCAUCAAAUUUAUCAAAUAGGAUUAAACAAAAACUUAUGAUCAUAUGGAAGAAUGCUUACAAUUUGUGGAAAACAACCAACGACCCAUUUCACUGGCAACUCUUGAAGAGCUUUGUAAUGUUUACAUUGGGCCUUAAACUUUUCAAUGACCUCAGACGACAUAUGGACAUAAAUUCUUAAACACGCCACAAACGGAAUUUAAUAAUCACAACAUUAUUAUUUCAAAUAAAUUUCAUAUUCAUUCUGUUAUUUAUGUAAAUCACUUUAUAAUAAACCAAGAAAAGCAAAC